rnacentral:rRNA from 1 species
UAUAUUGACUGUGCUAAGGUAGCAUAAUAAUUUGCCUUUUAAUUGAAGGCUGGAAUGAAAGGUCUAACGAAAAACUAACUGUCUUAGCUUGUUUUAAAGAAAUUUACUUAAAGGUUAAAAGGCCUUUAUAAGUUUAAGGGACGAUAAGACCCUAUAAAGCUUUAUUUAUCUAGGCGCCAGCUACUUUUAAGGAGAGGUAGGCUCUUAUAAAUUUUGCUGGGGAGGCAAGUAAUAAAACUUUACUGAUUAUAACACUCUGGGUGAAUUUAAUCUAACGUUGUCUCAAAUACCAAUAACAAGUUACUUUAGGGAUAACAGCACAAUUUUCUUAUAGAGUUCCUAUCGACGAGAAAGAUUGUGACCUCGAUGUUGAAUUGAGCCCUUCCAUUAAGUAGCCCUAAUGGUUAAGAAGUCUGUUCGACUUUUAAUUGCUC